rnacentral:rRNA from 1 species
GAUGAACGCUGGCGGCGUGCCUAAUACAUGCAAGUCGAGCGAACAGACGAGGAGCUUGCUCCUCUGACGUUAGCGGCGGACGGGUGAGUAACACGUGGAUAACCUACCUAUAAGACUGGGAUAACUUCGGGAAACCGGAGCUAAUACCGGAUAAUAUAUUGAACCGCAUGGUUCAAUAGUGAAAGACGGUUUUGCUGUCACUUAUAGAUGGAUCCGCGCCGCAUUAGCUAGUUGGUAAGGUAACGGCUUACCAAGGCAACGAUGCGUAGCCGACCUGAGAGGAUGAUCGGCCACACUGGAACUGAGACACGGUCCAGACUCCUACGGGAGGCAGCAGUAGGGAAUCUUCCGCAAUGGGCGAAAGCUUGACGGAGCAACGCCGCGUGAGUGAUGAAGGUCUUCGGAUCGUAAAACUCUGUUAUUAGGGAAGAACAAAUGUGUAAGUAACUAUGCACGUCUUGACGGUACCUAAUCAGAAAGCCACGGCUGACUACGUG